GCCGGAGAGGGGCGGGCAGCUCGUGCUUAGAGGGAGGGUGUCCGCCCUUCACAAUCAUGGCGGCAUGGAGGGGGCGGGGUCUGGAAGGGCAAAUUGGGCUGGCGGUCCCCGAACUAGCUGUCAUGUGACUGGGAAGAUGGCCACCUUUCCCUGGCAUUCGAGGAAUAGGAACUACAAGGCUGAGUUUGCAUCAUGCCGGUUGGAGGCUGUACCGCUGGAGUUUGGGGACUAUCACCCCCUGAAGCCCAUAACUGUCACCGAGUCAAAGACAAAGAAAGUGAGCCGGAAGGGGAGCACUUCCUCCACGUCCUCCUCAUCCUCCAGCUCCGUGGUGGACCCUCUGAGCAGCGUGCUGGAUGGGACUGACCCCCUCUCCAUGUUCGCAGCCUCUGCUGACCCCGCCACCCUGACGGUUGCCAUGGACAGCUCCAGAAAGAAACGAGACAGAGAUGAUAACUCCAUUGUCGGAUCCGAUUUUGAGCCUUGGGCCAGCAAACGAGGAGAAAUCCUUGCCCGGUACACGACCACGGAAAAGCUCUCCAUCAAUCUUUUUAUGGGAUCUGAAAAAGGCAAAGCUGGUACUGCCGCAUCUGCAAUGUCAGAGAAGGUUCGGACCAGGCUGGAGGAGCUGGAUGACUUCGAGGAGGGAUCCCAGAAGGAGCUGUUGAAUUUGACUCAACAGGAUUAUGUGAACCGCAUUGAGGAGCUCAACCAGUCGCUGAAGGACGCCUGGGCCUCGGACCAGAAAGUGAAGGCUCUAAAAAUAGUCAUCCAGUGUUCAAAGCUUCUUUCGGACACAAGUGUCAUUCAGUUCUAUCCAAGCAAAUUUGUUCUUAUCACCGACAUACUUGACACAUUUGGAAAGCUGGUGUACGAGCGAAUCUUUUCCAUGUGUGUGGAUAACCGCAGCGUCUUACCAGAUCACUUCUCUCCAGAGAAUGUAAAUGACACAGCCAAAGAAACAUGCUUAAAUUGGUUUUUCAAGAUUGCUUCCAUCAGGGAACUGAUUCCGAGAUUUUACGUGGAAGCAUCCAUCCUGAAGUGUAACAAGUUCCUCUCCAAAACGGGGAUCUCAGAGUGUCUGCCGAGGCUGACCUGCAUGAUCCGGGGGAUCGGGGACCCGCUGGUGUCGGUGUACGCCAGGGCCUACCUGUGCAGGGUGGGCAUGGAGGUGGCACCACAUCUCAAAGAAAGCCUAAAUAAGAACUUUUUUGACUUCCUCCUCACAUUCAAACAGAUUCACGGGGACACGGUCCAGAACCAGCUGGUGGUCCAGGGAGUGGAGCUGCCAUCCUACCUGCCCCUGUACUCGCCUGCCAUGGAUUGGAUCUUCCAGUGUAUCUCCUACCACGCCCCCGAGGCUCUGUUAACCGAGAUGAUGGAGAGAUGUAAGAAACUAGGAAACAAUGCCUUGCUCUUGAAUUCUGUGAUGUCAGCCUUCCGGGCCGAGUUCAUCGCCACACGGUCCAUGGAUUUCAUCGGCAUGAUUAAAGAGUGCCAUGAGUCUGGCUUCCCCAAGCAUCUCCUUUUUCGCUCACUGGGGUUAAACUUGGCCUUGGCUGAUCCCCCCGAGGGUGACCGACUUCAGAUCCUCAAUGAAGCUUGGAAAGUUAUCACUAAGUUGAAGAAUCCACAGGAUUACAUUAAUUGUGCCGAAGUAUGGGUAGAAUACACCUGCAAGCAUUUCACGAAACGAGAGGUGAACACUGUCCUGGCUGAUGUCAUCAAGCACAUGACUCCAGAUCGUGCAUUCGAAGACUCCUACCCUCAGCUUCAGUCAAUAAUUAAGAAAGUGAUAGCACACUUCCAUGAUUUCUCAGUUCUUUUCUCAGUGGAGAAAUUUCUGCCAUUUCUGGACAUGUUCCAAAAAGAGGGUGUGCGCGUGGAGGUUUGCAGAUGCAUCAUGGAAGUUUUUAUCAAGCAUCAGCAAGAGCCCACCAAGGACCCAGUCAUUCUGAACGCCCUUUUGCAUGUUUGCAAGACCAUGCAUGACUCUGUGAAUGCACUCACUCUUGAGGACGAGAAAAGAAUGCUGGCCUAUUUGAUUAAUGGAUUUAUAAAAAUGGUGUCCUUUGGCCGUGAUUUUGAACAACAGCUGAGCUUUUACGUGGAGGCCAGGUCAAUGUUCUGCAAUCUGGAACCUGUUCUUGUGCAGCUGAUCCACAGUGUGAACCGGUUGGCCAUGGAAACAAGAAAAGUCAUGAAAGGAAAUCAUUCCAGAAAGACAGCCGCAUUUGUCCGGGCCUGUGUCGCCUACUGCUUCAUUACCAUUCCCUCCCUGGGGGGGAUCUUCACCCGCCUCAAUCUCUACCUGCACUCGGGUCAGGUGGCCUUGGCCAACCAGUGCCUCUCCCAAGCUGAUGCCUUUUUCAAAGCCGCAAUAAGCCUCAUUCCAGAAGUUCCAAAGACGAUUAACAUCGACGGGAAGAUGCGGCCCUCGGAGUCAUUCCUUCUGGAAUUCCUCUGCAACUUCUUUUCUACGUUAUUAAUAGUUCCGGAUCAUCCUGAACACGGGGUCCUGUUUCUUGUCCGAGAGCUGCUCAACGUGAUCCAGGACUACACCUGGGAGGACAACAGUGAUGACAAAAUCCGCAUCUACACCUGUGUCCUGCACCUGCUGUCCGCCAUGAGCCAGGAGACCUACCUCUACCACAUAGACAAAGUCGACUCCAACGACAGCCUCUACGGGGGAGACUCCAAGUUUCUGGCUGAAAACAACAAACUGUGCGAGACGGUGAUGGCUCAGAUCCUGGAGCAUCUCAAGACCCUGGCCAAGGAUGAGGUAGGUGCCCCCGGCCACCUGGCCAGUUCCAAGGGCGCUUGGACAUUGGUUUGUCCUGUGAGUACUGGGUCUGUGUGCAGACCAUUCACUGAGGGCCCCAGGGCCUUUGCUCCUGCUGUUUUCUCUGCCUCCCAGCUUCUCCUGGCCGCCCCUCUCAUCCUUCAGGUCUCAGCUCAAGUUCCUCCUCAGAGUGGCUUUCCCCGACCCCCGUCCCAAGUCGCCGCCGUCCUCCUGGGUCUCUCUGUACUGUUCCUGGGACACUCGGUCACUCUCUGAAACGCUGUGUGUUCACGUGUCAGUGGCCUGCCUCCCCCACCAGAAUAUAAACUCCCUGCGGUGGGGACCUCAAGAUGUGGGUCUCUGGGAUCCAUCUGUUGCUCACCCCAGCAUCCCUACCUCAGAGCCUGGCUGUAGUGGGUGCUCCACCAGUGCCUGUUGAGGAAAUGAUAGCCCACGCUCUUCAGAAUCCUCGGCGCCCCCCCUGAUCCUUGCAACUGGGGGCUCUGGCUCCAGCUCCUUGCCCGGGCCUCUUAGAGCAGGGCUGCUUCAAGUUUGACAUGCUGUGCCCAUGAAGCACACCACGUGGCUUGAAAAGCCUUUCUUCACACUCAUGCCACAGGCUGGGUCUCCUCAGAGGUGACAGCUGACAGCAUGAACGACCGAAGCCUAGGGCCCCCGGGCUCACCAGAAAAAGCGAGCCAGAACCAUAUAAUUUGGAACGAUUUUAAUGUCUCUUUUUCUCUUGGGGGAGGAGGCGUUGAUGGUGAUAAUGACUCCAAAAUAAUUCUGAAAGAAGAGCAAGGCUGGCAUGUUGCCGAGACAUUGCAACUCACAUAAAUACCAGGGUGCUCCCUGAACACGUCUGUCCGUAUGUGCACAUUGAUCAGGAGAAGCGUGGGUGGACCGACCCGAGGUGGAACGUGUCAUCCUUCCUCCUGACAACGUGCUGUGGGGCUGCAUGCAGGCGACCCUGGAGGGGGGGGCGAGUCCUCAGACCGCUGUCCCCUGCCCGGGGGACGAGGCUGGCGCUGUGAACCCCCUGUGCCCAGGCCCCGUCUCUCAGUGCCAAUGGCAGCCUGCUUCCACCCGGUCCCCUCGGUCCCCGUGAAGGAAGCAGCCCUGCUGGGAUCCUUUGGGAAGCCGUCUGUUUGGGUGUGGUGAGGCUGGGACCCGAGCCAGACCCUCCCAGCUUCCUGGACAUGAUGGUUCUCAUCGGGAAAGAUUCAAAAGAAGCUGAUUAAAACCUCGGUGCGGAUUGGAGGGGGCUCGAGGCCCUGACUCGGGGUCUUUUACAGUGUGCUCUUAGUUUCCUGGCUCUUUGCAUGUCGGCCGGCAUUCUUCCUUCCUCAUCCCCCCUCCUGUCCCUAAUAAUGUCAUUUUUAACGGGCUGUGCAUUUAAAACAGAUGUGAGGAGUUCCCGUUGUGGCGCAGCGGUAACAAACCCGACUAGGAUCCAUGAGGAUGUGGGUUUGAUCCCUGGCCUCGCUCAGUGGGAAAAGGAUCUGGCAUUGCCGUGAGCUGUGGUGUAGGUCGCAGAUGUGGCUCAGAGUUACUGUGCCUGUGGUGUAGACCAGCAGCUGUAGCUUUGAUUCGCCCCCUGGCCUGGGAACUUCCAUGUGCCUCGGGUACAGCCCUAAAAAGCAAAUUAAAAAAAUUUAAAAAUAAAGCAGCUGUGAACUGGGUUUUUAGAAAAGGCAAAAUGCUUGAGAAGAUACAGAAUGGACUUUUAAAAAUUCUCUUCUGCUUCCGUGAAAUGUAGUUAAAGGGCCUCCCCCGGGGAGACUCUGUGGUUGGAUCCGAGAGCCUUCUGUUAGCUGGGCCUGGAGAUCGGAGCAGAAAACAGGGUCUUCCUGUUCCCCAGGCGUCAGACAAGGGCCGGGGUGAAAGGCGAGGGGUAUGGGCUGCGACCCUCUGGACGAGCCCAGGCUCCUGAGCAGGCCAGAGCUCACUGGUUAAACAGAGGGGCCCAAAGCGGGCAGCUGCCAACCAGCUGGUGAUCCGUGCCAGGUGGGUGUCGCCCCCCCCUCCCUGGCCUGCAGGCUCAGGAUGGGACAGCGGGACCCCCACGCCUUGAAGGCAGUGCUGCUCUGUCGGCUCAGCCGUUUGUGAUAUUAUCUGGUCCAGGCUGUUGCCAAGGUAGGCUCAGUCCCUCCCCUGUCGCUCAGCCACCCUCCCCUGGUGGCAUUCCUAAUUGCUCCCCGGCAGUUCACUGUGCUGGUGUUUCCUCCAGAGACUUAGCUCCCCUUAGGCAAGGGCAGCAGGAGUAAUUGGCUCAGUGGGUAGCACAGGGCCUGCCACUCUCUGGGCUGCACACAUGGAAGGACAGCUGGACGGUUCCUGGGCUGGUGGAGAAAAAGCAGGAACCAGUACGUACUGGUCUGGACCAUGUGAAAGCAUUCCCGCUUCCCUGGAUGAAACUGGGUAGCUGCUCUGGGCAGAUCUCUUGGCCUCUUCGGAAUCUGGAUCCCUGCUAACCAGGGGCCUGUGGGAACAUCUUAGGAACCGGGGCAGGACGUGGGAGGGGUGCAGGUACUGGCACAGGCUCCAGAACUGGGCGACCUCAGUCUGCACUUGCCAGCGGCGGGGCCUGAGCAAGUUCCUGGAGCUUUCUGACCUUCCAGGGCCUCGUCUGCAAAAUGGAAGUGUAUUGCUUUCCUACUGGGGCUUGAAAUCACCACCGACUUAAAACGACCUGCACUUAUCACGGUUUGGUAGAUCAGAAGAUUUCUCUGCUCUGGGUUUCACACGGCCAGAAUCAAGGUGUUAGCCGGCUGGGUUUUUGUUUUGUUUUUGCUUUUUAGGACCGCACCUGCAGCAUAUGGAUGUUCCCAGGCUAGGGAUCAAAUCGGAGCUGCAGCUGCCGGUCUAUACCACAGUCACAGCAACACCAGAUCCAAGCGGCAUCUGCAACCUACACCACAGCUCACGGCAAAGUUCACGGCUCACGCUUAACCCACAGAGCGAGGUCAGGGAUCAAACCCAUGUCCUCAUGGAUACCAGUCGGAUUCAUAACCUGCUGAGCCACAAUGGGAACUCCCUGGCUGGGCUCUUACUGGAGGCCCCGGGAAGAAUCCAUUUGCCAGCUCACUGGAGUUGGCAGGCUUCAGUUCCCCGUGGGGUAGGGCUGAGGUCCUGUUUCCUUGCUGGCUGUUGGCUGGGGGCCGUUCUCAGCUUCUAGAAGCCACCUGCAUUUCUUAGCUCUCGGCCCCCUUCUUCCAUCUUGAAAGCCAGCCAUGGUGGGUCAUGUCUUUCCCUAGCUUGAAUCUCUGUGGUCUGACCUUCUGCCUCGUCUUCCCUCUGCUUUUGUCUUCUGCUACUUCUCUCUGGCUCCAGCUCAAGACAUCCCUCUGCUCUUUAGGGCUCAAGGGACCAGACUGGGCCCACCCAGAUCAUCCAGGAUGGUCUCCAUGGGGUCCUUCCCCUUCAUUACACCUGCGGUGUCCCUUCCUGGUAGCACCUAGUUAGGGUUUGAAAAAGCAGGGGUUGGGGAUCCUGCCGACCCACAGAGUUGUGAACAUCAAAGAGUUGUGUGAAGCACAGAGCUCACUCCCGGCACACUGCUACGAGUGGCUCCACACCCACUAGCUGCCAAGGAGCAAAGCAGACACUCGGGCUCCUGCCAGCACUGGUGUUCACGGUGCCAGCCAAGGGUACCCAGCCAGGGCCCACGCAGCCAAGUGAUCUGACCUGGGCCAUCCAGGUGCUGUUUACCUUCAGGAGGCAGUAUCCCUUCCCCUGGGCCUUAUUUUGGAGAUUGUGUGUCUUUCUGUCUUUAUCAUUCAAGCUGGGCUCAGGUCUGGUCCACCUCUGACACUUGGGUUCCACUUUCUUUGCGUACUUUUCCCAUCAGACCAUUGAGCCAGAGAGGAAGGAGCUGGUGUUAAGAACACAGAACGGCUCAGUGGCUUAAGCAUCUGGCGUUGAUGAGCUGUGGUCGGUCGCAGAUGCAGCUCCGAUCCCACGUGGCUGUGGCUGUGGCUGUGGUGUAGGCCAACAGCUGUAGCUCUGACGGGACCCCUAGCCUGGGAACCUCCAUAUGCCACAGGUGCAGCCCUAAAAAGCCAAAAAAAAGUACAGAAUGACUCUUAGAAAAGCUGGGCGUGGGCACCAGGCAUUGGAGAGCUGUUCCUGGGUGCCAUCUUUGGUCUUCAUUACCCGCCCCCAAGGGGGUGGGAAAGUGACGGACACUUCGGGUGGCUUCAGGACCCAUCUGAGACAUAUUUGACCCUGGAGUUUUCCCUCGUUCUGGCGUUAAAGCCAGAAGGCCCAUCUCUGCUGGUUCUUGAGCCCACUGACCGUUGGGCCUCCCUUGCUUCUGCGUCCACCCCCAGUGAUGCCCAAGCGGGAGGAACAGAGCAAGGGGCUUCACCUGGGUCAUCUCAUCCAGACUCACUUGCCCUGCAAGGUCCUGUAGCCUUGACCGUCCUGCAGAGGAAGAAGCUGGCGCUCAGGGAGGUGAAGCAGCUCGCCCUCCAGAUCAGUGGUAGGGUUGGCCCUGGAACCUCUGGGCACCGUCAACCCUGGGUCGGGCCUCAGUCCCAGGGAGUAACCUCUGUCUUCUGUUUCAGGCCCUGAAGCGCCAGAGCUCUCUGGGCCUUUCCUUCUUUAACAGCAUCUUGGCCCACGGCGACCUGCGCAACAACAGGCUCAACCAGCUCUCCGUCAACCUCUGGCACCUGGCACAGAGGCAUGGCUGUGCCGACACCAGGACCAUGGUGAAAACCCUGGAAUACAUCAAGAAGCGAAGCAGGCAACCAGACAUGGGGCAUCUGACCGAGCUGGCCCUCAGGCUCCCUCUGCAAACGAGGACCUGACCCUAGGGACUCUGGGUCACGUCCAGAAAGACCUGUUUUGCUUUUUUGUUUUGAUUGGGACACACAUACAGAUGGGUUUAAGCUCUGGCCUCUACCCGGAUGAUUCUGACCUUGAGGCGGAACUGCCACGGCAUCAGAUCCCCCCUGCUUAGCGAGCACAGUGUCUUAGUGUUUCUUGGCACAGGUGGCCUUCAGAUGGGCCUUUAGUGAGGAAUGGAAGAAUGCAAGUAAUGUCUUUCUUUUCUGGAAGGUGUUUUUUAGCUGGAAAAAGAACCUUGAAGAACAGUCCACUCUGAACGAGCCUCUAUGCCCUCCUUAAUUCGCUAUCAAAAGCAACUUGACUGGAUUUAGCAAGUGUUGGCGGGACUAAAGGAGCAAGCGAGGUCAAAUCUGAGAUGGCCUGUGGCUUCCAUGGAAACUAUACUGUAACUGAAUAAACUUCCUGAAGGAAC